rnacentral:rRNA from 1 species
UACGGAGGGUGCGAGCGUUGUCCGGAUUUAUUGGGUUUAAAGGGUGCGUAGGCGGCCCGGUAAGUCAGCGGUGAAACCCACGGGCUCAACCCGUGGAGUGCCGUUGAUACUGUCGGGCUUGGGUUCCUCUGGGCGGGCGGAAUGGAAGGUGUAGCGGUGAAAUGCAUAGAUAUCUACCAGAACGCCGAUAGCGAAGGCAGCUCGCUGGGGGAUUACCGACGCUGAGGCACGAUAGCGUGGGGAUCAAACAGG